ensembl:lncRNA
UCUCUCCCGGCUUAAGGCCUCUAGGCUCGCCCCCAACUUCCACCCCACGCCGGCGCUGUAAGUGGUCAUCGCCCGGCAGCCCGAGACCAAGACGCGUGCAUCCCCACAGCCUCUGAUUCCCUGACAACCCCUAGGCCGGAGCCAGCGCGACCAAUAACGUGCCAGGUCCUCGGCCUCCCCGCCACCGACCAAUCACGAGCGAGCCCCCCCCCGCCGUCGCCUUCCGCCAAUGGGAGAAAGCCCGCGAGCCGGGCCGACAAGGCGCACGGACCCCGCGAGCGCGACGGCGGCGACAGCGACGGGCCAGGGAGAACACAACAUGGCGGUGGGCAGGCCGGACCGAACUACAGCAGCAGCCACGCGAGGGAAGUGAGGUCUCCGCCGAGGGCGGGAAGCGCCGCCCCUCCCCCCGCGACUGCCGCUCACCUCUCCCCCUCCCUCCCGCGGACGCUCCCGCACACUCACACGCCUCGGCUCAGAAGUCCAGGGAAGAGCAGGAGCCGCCCCCGCGCUCCGGCGGAGUCGGGCAAUGCAGAGGCCUGGGCACGACGGAGGGGAGGGGGAAGCGUGCGUCACGGAGAACGGAGCGCGCGCUAAGCCGGGGUACAAACAAGAUGGCGGCCACGCCGUUUGCACUGUCUCCCCCCGCUUCCCCUCCCCCUCCCUUGGCGCCUUGGCUCCGAGUGUCUUUAAUGCGCAGAAGCUUAGUCGCUUGAAGUCUCGCGAGAAUUGAGAAGGGGCGACGACUUGGUGAGCCUUGAGCCAUCUGACCCCGCCCCCUUUAGAGUCCAGAGGUGUCUAGCGGGGUCCUAGAUAGCGUAUUCAGCCUUUGUGGACCUUUGCUAUGGUCCGCGUGCUUUUGAGUUUUAGGAGAAUAGAUAGUUUUACGUGGGUUUGUUUGUUUUUUAAGGAAGUAACAGCUGGAGGAUGGAGGGCGGCAUGAGGAAUGCCAGAUUAAGUGCGCUGUUAAAGAAGACAGCUGCCAGUACCGUAAAAGGGGAUUUAAAACUGUAAAGAUACACUUCAGAAUAAAGAACAGCACUUUCCUAGAAUGGUCACCUUGUAACUUUACGUCUAUAUGCACAUUGUUUUUGUCACUUGACUGCAGAAUUAAAACUUCUUUAAAAGCAGUUGGAAACUGAACUGCAACCAGCACUCGUUUUCAUGCUUUACCGCUUUAAUCUCCACAACUACUUAGUCCGAAGGCAUUAGCAUUAUUUCUGUUUUACUGGUGAUGAAGUUGAAGCGCCAAAAUGUUAAGCAACUUAAGGCUCCGCAGCUAGUUAAUGGCGAGACUCGGUUUGAAUAGUCAAAUCUGUAUAUAAAUACAUCUAAUAUAUAUUGAGUAGAAUCAUCCACAAUGAAACUGUGCACUAGGUUGCAAGCACAAAUAAGACUGCUUUUGCUGGUGUUUACCUUGAAGUUUACAGAUGACUUUUCUGAGACUUGUUUUGCAGGGGUUCUCAACAAUAAAAUCAAUACACUAUUAUUAUUUCCUUCCUUUGAGUUUAUGACCCUAGUGAUAAAGUUGUUGAGAAUAAUGGAAUAAAUCCUUGACUUGAAUUCAGGAAAAUUGUUUUCAAAUCCAGCCUUAAUAAAUCUCACUUCAUGCAUUCAAUAAAUAUUUGAUGAAUAAAUAAAACCUGACUAGUUACAAGACACUUAAGUUCACUAAGUCUUGUUGAUUUCUUCAUCUGUAAAGUGAUCUAAUUCCUACCUCAGAGUGUCAGGGAUAUUGAAUGAAACAGUUUAAGGGAGAGUGCUUUGCAAAAGAAUUUCAAAGUAGUGAUAAUGAUGUUUUCAGACAUGAGAAAUGGCAUAAAAAUUAAAAACAGACUCAAGAAAUAGUAUGUUGAGAUAAAUAAGCUUAGCUAAUGGGGAAAUGGAGAAGGCUAUGGCACUCCACUCCAGUAUUCUUGCCUGGAAAAUCCCAUGGGCGGAGGAGCCUGGUGGGCUGCAGUCCAUGGGGUCGCACAGAGUCGGACAUGACUGAAGUGAUUUAGCAGCAGCAGCAAUGGGGAAAAGCUAGGGGACUCGAUUCCAUCCCUGAUCUGGGAAGAUCCCACAUGCCGUGGAGCAACUAAGCCACAACUAAUGAGCCCGUGCUUCACAAGAAGAGAAGCCACCACAAUGAGACGCUGAUAAACCGCAGCUAGAGAGUAGCCCCUGCUUGCCACAGAUGAAGAAAGCCCUUGUGCAGCCAAGAAGACCCAGCACAGCCAAUAAACAAAUAAACUAAACCCUCCCUAUCUGGCUUGUUCCUAGAAGGUUGUACUUCUCACCCUAAUGUCGUCAAGCUUGACUUUGUUUUCGUCAGGGAAAUCAGCCCAACGUGAAGGCCUCAGGGCAAGGACACCUUCAGAACCAGCAGCCAUCAGCCCAAAGAGCGCCCCUGGACUCAGGCCCUGCCAUUCUGCCCCUGAAUGCUGUUCCUGCCCACACCGCUUAAAGAUGUGGACCUGAACCCCCGAGAGACCUCAGGAGGACUGGGCCCUCUUGUCGAACAGCCUUUCAGGCAAACUUUCAUCUCUAGUUAUGGCUGAAUAUAGUACUCCAUUAAGUGUAUAUAACGUAUUUUGCUUAUAAAUUCAUCCGGCAACGGAAUUUGGGUUGUUUCUGUCUUUUGACUAUGGCAAAUAAUGCUGCUAUGAACAUUGGUGUUCAAAUAUCUGUUUGAGUUCCUGCUUUCGACUCUUGGGGGUACAUACCCAGAAGUGAAAUUGCUGGAUCAGAUGGUAAUUCUAUGUUUAAUUUUUUGAGGGACCACCAUACUGUUUUCCACAGCGGCUGUACCAUUUUACAUUCCCAGUGAUAGAAGUUUUUACAGAUGGGAAUGACAUGGUCAAAACUGUGUUUAACCACUACACGGGGCUUCCUUAGUGGUGCCUGUGGACAGGAAUCUGCCUCCCAAUUCUGGGGACACAGGUUUGAUCCCUGCUGCAGGAAGAUUCCACAUGCUGCGGAGCAACUAAGCCCGUGAGCUGCCACUCCCGAAGCCCUGGCACCUAGAGCCUGUGCUCCGCAAUAAGAGAAGCCGUCGCAAUGAGAAGCCCAGCGCUGCAACCAAGAGUCGCCCUGGCUCACCGCAACUGGAGAAAGCCUGCGCUCAGCAACGAAGACCCAGCACUACCAAGACACACACACAAAAUGGCUAUCUGGCAGAGGUAACGGGAUGGAGUGGGGUUUCAGAAUGACCAGUUGGAGACUUCCACACAGGACGAGAUCUAACAGGAGCCUGAGCACAUCAGUAGCAGUGAGAAUGGAGGGUGGAAGAUAGAAAUGCAGAGGUGAUGCUGCCCACAGAGGACUGAAGCACUUGAUUGUUGACCUGCUGCUGCAGAGGUGAGGAGCAAGAGACAUGAAGGUGUAUGGUAUGACCCCCGGCUUCACCCCUGGGAGUAGGGUGGUCUCCAGAUGAAGAUUUCCGGACUUCUCCAGAGCGUGGCAAGUGGGACAUUGUGAGCUCUGGGAUGGACACUUGUUGUCUUGCCUGCUCAGUACCCUUGCCCUUUCCAAUGGUAAUGACACUGUAUUUGCAGCCCAGCUGCUGAGCCCUGAAAUCCAUGCUGCGCUCUGAGAUCCAUUGCCCUUCACCCCCAGGCCUCACUUCCCACAAGCUGGCCACUGACUGAGCACAGCUGGGAUUUUUGGACAGGCACCUGCCUAGGAUAAGUGACGGUCUUCUGAUGGACAACUUUGGCUCAAGGACUCCUCAGUGACCUCACAAACGUUCCUUGAAGCUGCACUGCAGUCUAAGGUGCUUCCACCUAGGACUCCUGCCUUCUCUCUUCUUCACUUAGGGUCAGACCUGUUGAGUGGUCCUCUCCCAGUCUCUCUCAGGUCUGGCCCCCCAUUGUCUCUCACAGGUGUUUUCCAUAUUGAAUUUCUUGCAUUUAACCCUGUCUUGAGGUCUGUUUUCUGAGGAGCUGAACUGACGGAGGGGAGGGAGGAUGAGCUCACAGCAUCUCCUCUGUAUCCCAUCAGCCGUAGGGGUAAGUGUGUGACCCACCCUGACCAAUCAUCCUGAGCCCCACACCUUGGCCCAGGGCCUCCUCAGAGUCUCUCUGCAUCAUUUGGCUCCCAGAUCAUUAGAUGCUUGGUCCACCUCAAUCACAGACAUGGCUGACCAGCUCUGAGUGAGGCCUCACAGUUCCACUGGCUGAAGCCAGCGAGUUGCAAGCAUGGAUAGUCUGGCUUCUCUCGCACUUUCCAGACCCUGAGGACCCACCACCUCACAGAGCAAGAGAUCUGGGCUCCUAAGCAGCUGCUGAAGGGGUCGGUGAUAUACAGGAGAUAGAACCUGCACCAGAGACUUAACUGCCCAUGGGGCCAACUAUAGGCUUUCCUGGUGGCUCAGCUGGUAAAGAAUCCACCUGCAAUAUGAGAGAGCUGGGUUUGAUCCCUGGGUUGGGAAGAUCCCCUGGAGAAGGGAACAACUACCCACUCCAGUAUUCUGGCCUGGAGAAUUCCAUGGAUUGUAUAGUCCAUAGGGUUGCAAAGAGUCGGACACGACUAAGCAACUUUCACUUCAGGGCCAACUGUGAUGAAUGAAGGAACAAUUUACUCUCCCUCCCUUCCUCUGAUGGACUGUUUGAAGGUAUAGUUUCUCUGUACAAACAGUCUGAAGGCUUUCUGCACGUCUAAGUAGGUAGACCUGUCCAGAGACCAGAUGUGUCUCUUUACAGUUCAUUGUAAAGAAGUAGCAAGAAACAUUUCCUUGCAUUGCUUGCCAUCUUUUCCUGCUUCCCUGUCCCCUCAUCCUCACUGCCCUAGCAUUGUGCAUCCCAUAUAAAGCUUUAGCACUUGAUCCCUUCUUCAGGUUUUAUUUUCUAGGAGCCCUUGUUAAGACAGAUCACAGUUUCUGAACAGCUGAGCACUGGACUCAAACCAAGCUAAGCAAAGCCUUCCUAAAGAUGCAGAAUAUAGACAGACAAGACUUUUCUUCUGUAGGUCUUGAGUCAUAAAGAUCUGUGGGUGGCUACCACUUCUGCUUUACAGGAAGAGCCUGCCUGAGCACAAAGGCAUCACAGAGGAAGGCAGAUCUCAGAGAAAGAGAAGGACACAGAGGCCUGACAUCCUUUGAGCUCCAAGAUCCAACCCUCCCCAAUAUGUAUAAUAGUUUUGUUAUUUAUCUCCCUAAAGACUGGUUUUACCAAUCCAAAUCAAAGAAAAUGUGGUCACCUCUGGAUCCCAGGGUACCUCAUUUAAGAGAUCAGUCAGGUGAUUAGAUUUGAGGCUCAAUUUCAAAUUCCUGGGAGAAAGAGCUGUUGCUUGGACUAGUUUUAGCCAGAUGUUUACCCCUGAACCAAUCAACAUCACUGUGGGCACAGGGUCACGUGUAAAUAUGGCUGUAGCCACUGUAAGGCUGUGAAUAUGGUGUGAUAUCAAGUAGGGAGGAAAAGCUGGAGUAGGGAGUUGGGCAGACCAAACAAGGGGUGCCCACUCCUUGAGAAUAAAUAAGAGGGAAAGGAUAAAGAGAAGGGGUCUGAGGACAGAACACCGUCUAAUCCAAUGCUGUCCUGCUCUUUAUCUAAACCAACGCUAUCCAGUAGAACCUUCUGCAAUGAUGGAGGUGUUUUAUAUCUCUGCUGUUCAGUGUAAUAACCAUCAGCCACAAGUGGCAGUUCAGCCCUUGACAAUGGAUGCAACCGAGCAACUGAAUUUUUUGCUUCAUUUUAUUUUAAUUUAAAUUUGAAAAACUGUGUAGUUAAUGACUACGUAUUGGACAGGUCAGACCACACUGCCAGUCUGUUUGGGAAGAAAGCAUAUUGCAUGUGCUUUGGAGUCAGUCAGAUCUAGGUUCAAGUCUCAACACUACUUCUUAAAAAUUGAACAGAUUCCUUAACCCCUCUGAGCUAUAGAAGUGAAAGAUGCAAAGGAUAGUGAAUAAUACGUGAUACCAAAAAGUGAGAAAGGGGCAAAAGAUUGCAAAGGGACAAAAAGUCAGCUGGGUUUAACAAUGAGGAGAUGGAGUGAAUUAAGACAGAAGUAUUCAAAGUGUGAUGGGGCUAGAGCCAGACCAGCAAUUUUCCUGUCUUCUGGACAUCUGUUAAGUAUCUUUCCUCUGGAAGGGGAUCCCAGGAAGGGAAAGACAGGGAACAAAAUAAUUUAAUUUUAAUCCUGAUGGCCAUGAGGGGAGCUGAGAACCCAAAGGAAUGUCCUGAAGGUAGGGCUCCAAGAUCAAGCCAGAAAAACACAGUCAGAAACAGUCAGCCAAGGGUCUGGAGCCAAAGAUAGGGUUGCAUAGACCAAGAAACUAGAAGGAAAGAACAUCUCAUAAAAUAUCCUCAUGACAUAGCACUUACUGUGUAACUAGAUUGUGAACCCUUCAGGGUUCAGAGCCAAGUUCAUCUUGGUAUUCCCAACACCUAGUAAGUUCCAGACACAAUAAUAGGUGUUUAAUUAACAUCUGUUAGAAUGAAUGCAAGUAAGCCAGUCACUCCUUGGUGCAUGGUAUUCACUCUAAAAAUGUUAAAUGAUCAAAAAGAGAAAUCUCUGCAAUGAGAAGGUGCCAGGGAAACCUUCAUGGCAGGGAAACCCUGUUUGUAUGGUCCCUAGCAUAUCACCUGGCACAGAGGGAUUGCUCAACAAGUGGUCACAAGGGUAAUGAUUAUUAGUGGGGGAGUGAGGUUUUGCAUAAUGAUCAGGGAAAGCUUUGAUGAUAAGAGGAGCUAAGUGAGUGAAGUCGCUCAGUUGUGUCCAACUCUUUGUGAC